AGUGAACGCUGGCGGUAGGCCUAACACAUGCAAGUCGAACGUCAGCACUUUUAGAUCUUUCUAUUACGGAUGGCGUGUGGCGGACUUGUCAAGAAUGCAUCCGAUUCCCUUAUUUCGUGGUCGACAACGUUCGGCCUCCUACACUACUGCCGUAUCAGACGUACGGCAGCACGCACAGGCGCUUCGGGCUUUUUGCGACAGCUUUAGCCGAUGUCGGACUUGCUAGUUGGCGGGGUAACGGCCCACCAAGGCCAGGAUCCGUAGCUGGUCUGACAGGACGAUCGGCCACACUGGAACUGAGACACGGUCCAGACUCCUACGGGAGGCAGCAGUGGGGAAUAUUGGCCAAAGGGCGCAAGCCUGACCCAGCGAUCCCGCGUGGGUGAAGAAGGCCUUCGGGUCGGAAAGCCCUUUUGUUGGGAAAGAAGAGCUGCAGGUUAAUACCCAGCAGUGCUGACGGUACCAAAAGAGUAAGCACCGGCUAACUUCGUG
rnacentral:rRNA from 1 species